AACGCACAUUGCGCCCGCCAGCAUCCUGGCGGGCAUGCCUGUUCGAGCGUCAUUUCAACCCUCAAGCCCCCGGGCUUGGUGUUGGGACACUACGGCCGCCGUAGGCCCCGAAAAUCAGUGGCGGUCUCGCCGGGACUCCGAGCGCAGUAGCACUACCCCGCUCGCGGCGUCCCGGCGCGGCCCCGCCAUGGAACCCCCCAGCUUCUGAAGGUUGACCUCGGAUCAGGUAGGAAUACCCGCUGAACUUAA
rnacentral:misc_RNA from 1 species